CUUCUUGGGAAGCAGAAAGGAAGCCCCAUCAGGGUUUUGUGGAAGACUCUAAAAUUAUAAUUGAAGAUGAAGAUAGCAGCAGUGACCCAGAUUUAAUUAUGUUUGCAGAUGAAAGCGAUGCUGUCGUGACCCUGAAACAUGGAAAGGAGGAGUCUACGAUGAACAAAGGGUUAGUCUCAGUGGAAGAUAAACUGAAACCGUGUGCUGAUACUCCAAAAAUAAAACGAAACUCUUCACCACUUAACUUGGAAAGGUGAGACUACAGCAAUUACAGAGACUCAAAGUAA
rnacentral:lncRNA from 1 species